ACAUGAGGCUUAAUAAAAUGGGCCAUUUUGAUAGUAAUACCAAAAUAGUACUCAGCUAUAUCGGUGAACUCCUAAAAUUUUAGGACAAUACCGAGGGAAGAUUCGAAAACUUUCGAGUUCCCGUAGAGACUACACGCUGAGCUCCCUGAAAUUCUUAGGGAUGAAGAUAUAGUCCGACACUCUGGGUAACCGGAGA
rnacentral:ncRNA from 1 species